UGGGGAAUAUUGCACAAUGGGCGCAAGCCUGAUGCAGCAACGCCGCGUGAACGAUGAAGGUCUUCGGAUCGUAAAGUUCUGUUGCAGGGGAAGAUAAUGACGGUACCCUGUGAGGAAGCCCCGGCUAACUACGUGCCAGCAGCCGCGGUAAUACGUAGGGGGCUAGCGUUAUCCGGAUUUACUGGGCGUAAAGGGUGCGUAGGUGGUCUUUCAAGUCGGUGGUUAAAGGCUACGGCUCAACCGUAGUUAGCCUCCGAAACUGGAAGACUUGAGUGCAGGAGAGGAAAGUGGAAUUCCAAGUGUAGCGGUGAAAUGCGUAGAUAUUGGGAGGAAAACCAGUAGCGAAGGCGGCUUUCUGGACUGCAACUGACACUGAGGCACGAAAGCGUGGGUAGCAAACAGG
rnacentral:rRNA from 1 species